GAUGAACGCUGGCGGCGUGCCUAAUACAUGCAAGUCGAGCGAACAGACGAGGAGCUUGCUCCACUGACGUUAGCGGCGGACGGGUGAGUAACACGUGGAUAACCUACCUAUAAGACUGGGAUAACUUCGGGAAACCGGAGCUAAUACCGGAUAAUAUAUUUAACCACAUGGUUCAAUAGUGAAAGACGGUAUUGCUGUCACUUAUAGAUGUAUCCCCGCCUCAUUAGCUAGUUGGUAAGGUAACGGCUUACCAAGGCAACGUUGCGUAGCCGACCUGAGGGGGUGUUCGGCCCCACUGGAACUGGGACACGGUCCAGACUCCUACGGGAGGCAGCAGUAGGGAAUCUUCGGCAAUGGGCGAAAGCCGGACGGAGCAACGCGGCGUGGUUGAUGAAGGUUUCCGGACCUUAAACCUCUGUGAUAAGGGAAGACCAAAUGUGUAAGUAACUAUGCACGUCUUGACGGUACCUAAUCAGAAAGCCACGGCUAACUACGUG
rnacentral:rRNA from 1 species